UACGUAGGGUCCGAGCGUUGUCCGGAAUUAUUGGGCGUAAAGAGCGUGUAGGCGGCCAGGUAGGUCGGUUGUGAAAACUGGAGGCUACACCUUCAGACGUCGACCGAAACCAUCUGGCUAGAGUCCGGGAGAGGAGAGUGGGAAUUCCAGGUGUAGCGGUGAAAUGCUUAGAUAUCUGGAGGAACACCAGUGGCGAAGGCGGUGUUCUGGGCCUGUACUGACGCUGAUGCGCGAAAGCGUGGGGAGCGA
rnacentral:rRNA from 1 species